GGGAGCUGGGGGGCCUGGGCCCCGGAGCUUGGGUGGGCUUGAGGCUGGGUGGGUGUACCGCAGGAAUUGUUGACGGUGAAGACAGAAAUUUGAAGCGAGCGGGAGUCUUGGCUCCGAACGAAGGAAACUGUUCGUGGAAAGUGCCACGUACAAGGAAGUGCGCAGUCCGAGAUGACAGGAUUCUGAGGAGAUUCUCUAUAUAAGAACCUUACCACUGGGACCCCAACUUUGCUACAAAGAAUGCUACUGUGCACGAUGAAGCCUUUAUGCAGGGAAAUUAUGCAGAUACAGAAAAUAUUCAAUGUGUAUUGAACUUCUGGUGGAAUGGAUACUUGCCACUGGGAAGAUCCCACAUGCUGCGGAGCAACUAAGCCCAUGUGCCACAACUACUGAGCCUGUGCUCUAGAGCCCGCAAGCCACAACUACUGAGCCCACAUGCCACAACUAUUGAAGCCAGAGUGCCUAGAGCCCGUGCUCCACAACAAGAGAAGCCACCACACUGAGAAGCCCGCAAACCGCAAGGAAGAGUAGCCCCCGCUCCUGGCAACUUCAGAAAGCCCACGUGCAGCAAU